UACAGAGGUCUCAAGCGUUGUUCGGAAUCACUGGGCGUAAAGGGUGCGUAGGCGGCGUAAUAAGUCAGAUGUGAAAUCCGGAGGCUCAACCUCCGAAUUGCAUCCGAAACUAUUAUGCUUGAGGGUUGUAGAGGAGCUUGGAAUUCUCGGUGUAGCAGUGAAAUGCGUAGAUAUCGAGAAGAACGCUCGCAGCGAAAGCGGGGCUCUGGGCAACUUCUGACGCUGAGGAGCGAAAGCGUGGGGAG
rnacentral:rRNA from 1 species